rnacentral:rRNA from 1 species
AGAGUUUGAUCCUGGCUCAGGAUGAACGCUAGCUACAGGCUUAACACAUGCAAGUCGAGGGGCAGCAUGUCGGUUGCUUGCAACCGAUGAUGGCGACCGGCGCACGGGUGAGUAACGCGUAUCCAACCUACCCUUGUCCAUCGGAUAACCCGUCGAAAGGCGGCCUAACACGAUAUGCGGUUCUCAGCAGGCAUCUAACGAGAACGAAAUGUGAAGGAGAAGGAUGGGGAUGCGUCUGAUUAGCUUGUUGGCGGGGUAACGGCCCACCAAGGCGACGAUCAGUAGGGGUUCUGAGAGGAAGGUCCCCCACAUUGGAACUGAGACACGGUCCAAACUCCUACGGGAGGCAGCAGUGAGGAAUAUUGGUCAAUGGACGGGAGUCUGAACCAGCCAAGUAGCGUGCAGGAUGACGGCCCUAUGGGUUGUAAACUGCUUUUAUAGGGGGAUAAAGUGUGCCACGUGUGGCAUAUUGCAGGUACCCUAUGAAUAAGGACCGGCUAAUUCCGUGCCAGCAGCCGCGGUAAUACGGAAGGUCCGGGCGUUAUCCGGAUUUAUUGGGUUUAAAGGGAGCGUAGGCCGUCUUAUAAGCGUGUUGUGAAAUGUCGUGGCUCAACCUGGGCAUUGCAGCGCGAACUGUGAGACUUGAGUGCGCAGGAAGUAGGCGGAAUUCGUCGUGUAGCGGUGAAAUGCUUAGAUAUGACGAAGAACUCCGAUUGCGAAGGCAGCCUGCUGUAGCGCAACUGACGCUGAAGCUCGAAAGCGUGGGUAUCGAACAGGAUUAGAUACCCUGGUAGUCCACGCGGUAAACGAUGGAUGCUCGCUGUUUGCGUCUGACGUAAGCGGCCAAGCGA